GUCUGAUGUGAAAGCCCCCGGCUCAACCGGGGAGGGUCAUUGGAAACUGGGAAACUUGAGUGCAGAAGAGGAGAGUGGAAUUCCACGUGUAGCGGUGAAAUGCGUAGAGAUGUGGAGGAACACCAGUGGCGAAGGCGACUCUCUGGUCUGUAACUGACGCUGAGGAGCGAAAGCGUGGGGAGCGAACAGGAUUAGAUACCCUGGUAGUCCACGCCGUAAACGAUGAGUGCUAAGUGUUAGGGGGUUUCCGCCCCUUAGUGCUGCAGCUAACGCAUUAAGCACUCCGCCNGGGGAGUACGGUCGCAAGACUGAAACUCAAAGGAAUUGACGGGGGCCCGCACAAGCGGUGGAGCAUGUGGUUUAAUUCGAAGC
rnacentral:rRNA from 2 species